UUAUUGGGUAAAUAAAAGUGGUCAAGGGCACAACUUUCCUUCAAUGAGCUCUUGUUCAGCAACUUCUACCUACUGAACACCUGGAUCCUCGGUCACUGGUUCAUCUACUCGAAGCAAUACAAACAGACAUGAUAUAGGAGAAAUUAACAUUACACCAAACAUGAGUACAAACUACAUGAUAAUAAUGUACUCAUCGCAACGAGAUCGUAGGUUCGAGAAUCACUAAAUUCAGAGUUAUGAAUUACAAGUUAUGAUUUUCUGAAGUUUUAUGUGUUUGGUACAAAAAUAGCCAAGUGAUUAAUUUUAAGAUAAGUUUCAUGCUAAAAUAGAGUUACCGUGUGAUAAAUAAUAUUAAAGAAAAAUUAUUGCAACUGGAAUGGAUUAAAAGGAGCUAAAAUGAAUUUUCUAGUAAUUAAACAAGAUCUAGAAUUAUUUUUAUACUAGAAAAGUAUUUUCUAUAUUAAUUUAUCCAAUUUCCUAUGUCUCUGGACUGUGCUCAUAAUUCGGAGUUGCUUGGGGUUAAAUUUGCAAAGUCUUGGGCCUCUCUGUAAGGAUCUUACUACUGUCCUGGACCGCGGGUUGAUAAGCAAGAAACCUAGGGUCUUUUAUGUAAAGACUCUCGGCCGAAGGGGUAUUAUCUAUUACCAUCUGUAGGAUCUAAAUCUUGCGGCUCGGAUUAAAUUAUUCCAGCGCUUAAGGCUGCUUCACUCGGAGCCGUUGGAUCCCUGAUCCAAGGCCAUGCACUCGCCACACACCUGUUCUGAUCCGCCUGUUAACGAUCAACGACCCCGACUAUUAAGUGAUCACGAUUGAUCCACAAGCGUAGGAUCAGAAUCGGACAGACCAGAUUACCCAGACGAAACUCUACCCUAGUAUCUAAUCUGCGCCGUCCACUCACCAAUCCAUGGUCAGGAGACCAUCGUCUUCCGCCCGGCGCGCCAAGCGGCGGGCGCAAUCCAUUGACACGGUGGUUUCACGCUGGCGCGAGGUGCAUUGGGCGCGCACGAGUCUAAUCAUCGAAUGUGAGCGCAGCAUCACAUAGCAGGGAUGAAGGCAAAUCUUGCGGAGAGGGGCUCACCGGCAGAGGUGUCGCGUGGAGGUCGGACCGUGGUGGGGAGCUUCACGGCGCGAACUCCUGGCUCUGGUGAGCAAUUCCCGCCGCGCUAUGGCCUCGGAGGCACCAAUCCUGCCCCCGCUUGGAUCCACACACCCGGCCAAAAGUGCCAGAGCACCCGCCAGAGGACGUACGGUGGAGGAAAUUCCCCCCGGCGUGCACCCCGCAACUUCCCCCUCUCUUCCAAUGGCGAGCGCGGAGUGGAGCAUUCAGGCAAUGGCACAAGGCUUGGCAUUCCUGAGCGCGACCGAG
rnacentral:lncRNA from 1 species